rnacentral:rRNA from 1 species
GACAGAGGGUGCAACCGUUGUUCGGAAUUACUGGGCGUAAAGCGCGUGUAGGCGGUCGGGUAAGUCGGGUGUGAAAUCCCCAAGCUUAACUUGGGAACUGCAUUCGAGACUGCAUAGCUAGAGUAUGGGAGAGGGAAGUGGAAUUUCAGGUGUAGCGGUGAAAUGCGUAGAUAUCUGAAGGAACAUCAGUGGCGAAAGCGACUUCCUGGACCAAUACUGACGCUCAUGUGCGAAAGCGUGGGGAGCAAACAGG